UUCAAGAACUCCAACCAGAUCUGCAGCAAAAAUGCGCAGAUCAGAGUCCACUUCCUCCUUUGCUUUGUCGAACUUUGUUCUAAUCAUCAUUAAGACUUCCUCCAAAUUAUUUAAACCUCGAGGCUUCCAGAAUGGAUAAGGCCGUACACCUUUGGAAUUAAGUUCAUGGGAAAAACUUUUUAUAUCUGACGGGGACCUUUUCCUAGGUGCACUCGUUACCCGCAGUAUAGCUUGUACGCGAGGAGAUUCGGACUCCUUUGGGUUUUCCCAUUCAUAAGAUGUCUUCAAUUCAGGAGUAUAUACAUCCAUGCCCCUGAGACCUCCAGAAUGGCUCCAAGAUGGAUUGAAUUGCCCUGCUCCAGAAGAUGAGUCUCCGGCCUGCAGCCUAGAUGUUCCAGGUAUAUGUUUGCUUCGGUCCUUCAAUGCAGCACUCCCAGCAGACAUACCAUCUGAAUU
rnacentral:misc_RNA from 1 species